rnacentral:rRNA from 1 species
CAGUAGCCGCGGUAAUACGUAGGUGGCAAGCGUUGUCCGGAAUUAUUGGGCGUAAAGGGCUCGCAGGCGGUUUCUUAAGUCUGAUGUGAAAGCCCCCGGCUCAACCGGGGAGGGUCAUUGGAAACUGGGAAACUUGAGUGCAGAAGAGGAGAGUGGAAUUCCACGUGUAGCGGUGAAAUGCGUAGAGAUGUGGAGGAACACCAGUGGCGAAGGCGACUCUUUGGUCUGUAACUGACGCUGAGGAGCGAAAGCGUGGGGAGCGAACAGGAUUAGAUACCCCUGUAGUCCCUGUCUCUUAUAC